UAAUACGUAGGGGGCAAGCGUUGUCCGGAAUCAUUGGGCGUAAAGCGCGCGUAGGCGGCCCGGUAAGUCCGCUGUAAAAGUCAAAGGCUCAACCUUUGAAUGCCGGUGGAUACUGUCGGGCUAGAGUCCGGAAGAGGCGAGUGGAAUUCCUGGUGUAGCGGUGGAAUGCGCAGAUAUCAGGAGGAACACCAAUAGCGAAGGCAGCUCGCUGGGACGGUACUGACGCUAAGGCGCGAAAGCGUGGGGAGCAAACAGGAUUAGAUACCCUGGUAGUCCACGCCGUAAACGAUGGGCACUAGGUGUGGGAGGUGUCGACUCCUCCCGUGCCGUCGCUAACGCACUAAGUGCCCCGCCUGGGGAGUACGGCCGCAAGGCUA
rnacentral:rRNA from 1 species